rnacentral:rRNA from 1 species
CCAAUAGCGUAUAUUAAAGUUGUUGCAGUUAAAAAGCUCGUAGUUGAAUUUCGGGGUUCUACCGUUGGUCGGGCUAUUGUCUGUACUGGCGUGUAGAAUUUCUACCUUCUGGGGAACUAUCAUGUUAUUAAUUUAGCGUGGUAGGAAACCAGGACCUUUACCUUGAAAAAAUUAGAGUGUUCAAAGCAGGCUUAUGUCUGAAUACAUUAGCAUGGAAUAAUAAAAUAGGACGGUGGUCCUGUUUUGUUGGUUUCUGAAUCACCGUAAUGAUUAAUAGGGAUAGUUGGGGGCAUUAGUAUUCAAUUGUCAGAGGUGAAAUUCUUGGAUUUAUUGAAGACUAACUACUGCGAAAGCAUUUGCCAAGGAUGUUUUCAUUAAUCAAGAACGAAAGUUAGGGGAUCGAAGACGAUCAGAUACCGUCGUAGUCUUAACCAUAAACUAUGCCGACUAGGGAUCGGACGAUGUUAACUUUUCUUGACUCGUUCGGCGCCUUACG